rnacentral:rRNA from 1 species
CCUACGUGGUGCAGCAGUGAGGAAUAUUGGUCAAUGGCCGGAAGGCUGAACCAGCCAAGCCGCGUGAAGGACGAAGGUGCCAAGCAUUGUAAACUUCUUUUGUCAAGGGACAAAAUCAGGCUCGAGAGCCUGACCGAGGGUACUUGAAGAAAAAGCAUCGGCUAACUCCGUGCCAGAAGCCGCGGUAAUACGGAGGAUGCAAGCGUUAUCCGGAUUUAUUGGGUUUAAAGGGUGCGUAGGCGGGCUGUUAAGUCAGCGGUAAAAGCCCGGGGCUCAACCCCGGCGAGCCGUUGAAACUGGCUGUCUUGAGAUGUCGAGAGGUAUGCGGAAUGCGCAGUGUAGCGGUGAAAUGCUUAGAUAUUAGGAGGAACACCAGUGGCGAAGGCGGCUUACUGGACUGUAACUGACGUUGAGGCUCGAAAGCGUGGGGAGCAAACAGGAUUAGAUACCCCUGUAGUC